rnacentral:lncRNA from 1 species
GUUCAGUGAUAUUCUCUUCCGGUUUUACAACAGUGUUUUCCGACGUAAAUGUCUCAGUUUCGGUGCUAGUUGUAUGAGUAUCAUGUACCACAGCAUUGGAAGCAUCAUCCCCGUUGUAAUUCUCCUCCCGAGCCUCAUGAGUGUUGUGGUUUUCAACCGAACCCCCUUUUUCCUCACCCUCACUGUUUUCAUUCUCCUUCUCAUCACUUUCUUCCUUUUCUUUCUCAUCAUCCAUGAACUCCUCAUCACGAUCAACAUCAACCUCUGGUUUCUCUUGAUCAUUUUCAUCUAUCUCAUCAUCUCCUCCACCUCUUCCUUCAUCUUCCAUCUCAUCACUUUUGUUUUCGUCCUCUUGUUCUUCUGCACCAUGCUUAUUUUCUUCUUCCCCCUGUUCUCUCACCGCAUGUUUGUUUUCUCCGCUCUCUCCUGUUUCAUGCUCAUUUCCCUCAUCUUCUUGUUCAUUGUGUCCAUGUUUAUUUACUACAUCCUCUACAACAUUUUCAUCUUCCUUUUCAUUUC